AAAAGGUCUCAUGGGACUUGUCCCCGCUGCAGAUGGCAGAGCUGUUAGGUGACAGUGAUAAGCACGUCCACUUGGGCUCAAGAUAGCCUCCAUGUCUGUGACGGGACAUAUGGUCACGCUGGGCCCCAUUAGGCACAGACCAAUGAUGUCACAUAAAGUGUAAACGUGCACUAUGGAUUAGUCAUCGUCGUCUUGACAUGCAAUACAGUAACUGCGUCUAUUUUUGUCCACUGGGCGAAGAGGGGCUGAGAGACACAGGCCGAGACGGAACAAGUCUUGUGUUCAUUCCAGCAAGGCGGCAAAAAGCCCGUCUUUGGUUUCCUUCAUACUGUGUCUCUGAUCAAGAAGAAAUUUUGAAUGAAUGAAAACUUCCUCUCGUCCUAAAAAGUAGUUCUUCGAAGUCGCAUGAUCGAACAAAACUGGAUGAAAAGGUUAAAAGUGUAAAACCUUUUCCAAUCCUGUCUCAUCAAAACUAUGAAAGCUGAGUCAAUAAACAUUUAUCGACAUGUUUCGUUUAAAAACUGAUUGACUUUCACUCCAAGAGGAAACUGCAGUGAUUCCAGACAGGAAGCUGCUGCAGCAGAUUAGUAAAUCAGGGAGCAGCAGCGGCAGCCGGAAGACAGAUCCUUACCUGGACUAUUUUCUGGGCCUCGCCAUUUGCAACACGGUGGUGGUUUCCAUGGCAACAGCUCAGAGACAGAGGAACAUCUCAGUGGGAGGCGGAAGGAUAUCGUAGGUACCAGCAUCACAUUGACUGUUACGCUUUGUACACUGUGCUUUACAAAGAAGGCAGACAAUAUGAUUUGUUGAUAUGUACCGGCAUAACCGUCUCGUACUGGUUGAGCUCUGUUCAUCCUCUUUCUGCGUGUGCUGGAGGUUGUGAGUGACAAGGUCUUCUGAAAGCUGGUCAGUGAUCAGACUGAGAGCCCUGGCUGCUACAGACAACAGAGAGCAGUUUGUUAUGGACACUGCGGUGCAGCUAGAGACGGACCUCUCCCUGCAUGGAGAGCUGCAGGCUACUGGAAGAGAAGGAUCAGGUGAUUAAGAUGAGCUGCAAAAACAAGACGAGGAGGCCGAUGUUGAGGUUUGGCUUCUUGACCCAGACCUGUUUGUUCUUUUCUGUACUGGUUAAGUGAUGCAUGAUGGAACAUCUCUGAUUCACUUCUCACCCCACAAUUAGAAUUUGCUUUGGGAAAUCAAACGUGAUAUGAAAAUGUUAAUGUACUUAAAAAUAAUCGAGUUAUGUUAGCUUAGCACAAUGACUGAAACCAGUGGGAAACAGUUUGCUGGCUCUGUCCAAAGGUAACAAAAUCUGCUCACUAGUGGUUGCCAGGCAACACGCAGAGAAUCCAGGAGGUUAACAGUCCGAUAGACAGCCUCAUUUUUAUACAUUAGAAAAACAAGAUGCAAUUAAUUAAUGAGCCGUAGAGGUGCGUGUAGGUUAAUUUUGUUACUUUUGUACCUUUGGCUUUGUUUUCAAGCUUUAUGCUAAGCUAAGCUAAGCUCAUUGCUAGGUGAUAUUGGGGCAUCUCUGAAAUAGACAAAACUUGGAGUUGAUCUUUUAUUUUCAGCAUAUACUCUGGAACAUUUUACAUCACGUGAUAAAGUGUCAUUCCCAAAAAGAGACCUAAAAUGGGGUGCGUUAUGUACUGUGAUUAAUUAUGAAUUAUCAUGAUAUCUGAUUUUCCAACUUUGAUUGCAGGUACAUUUAUUUAUUUUUUAUUUUUGAUACAAAAUAUGAAUUUACUUACUUCUUAUAUGCAAUUCUUGAGCUACACAAUAACAAAAAACAUGACGUUUUCAAAUCAAUAAAUAAAAAGUAAAUACUGUGAAGUCCUGGAGCAGUACAACUUUUACGUGAUUUAUAUUUCACACGUCACACACAUACAGCGUGUUUCUCGGGUCGGCAUCGGCAGUUUUUGAUGGUCACUCAGGACAAGACUUGUGCUUUCCAAACUGUCAGUUCAGGAGGUUUUGCCCCCGAGUCCAGCUCGUUUGAAUUCAAAUGGCCAAACCAUUUGACAAUCUUUGCAUAUAACUAAAGGUCAAACGCUCAAAUUUUCAUCUGAGAAAGAUGAGGAGUCAGGUGUGGGCCCUGCUCCUCUGAGGUCAUUAAAGACCCUUCGUAGCAACCUGACUAUGUCCUAAUCAUCCCUCAAAUAGACCGAAAUGACCCGUCGGCUCUGACGGAUACAUGGGGAGCUUUAUGGAACGAAGGCCCUGCUGCGCUCCUCUCAGACAGGACUAGUCAUUGAUGAUGAAUGGAAGGAGAUACCGCUAAUACAAUAUCUACUGCCUUCAUAUCUAAUUACCUGUCUAAUUCCCCCCCCCCCCCCUCUGGGAAAUACCCCUUUUCUCAUAUUGGUAAUGAACCUUUUUUUUCAUGUUUACCACUGUAACUCGAUGACCACCUGAGGGAUGGACUCCCACAGUCGUCUCCAAACCACACCUAAUGAAAUUUAACCGGCAUUAGAUAGAUGAUCUAAAAACAGGAUGUGACCCAAUUCUUUUCAUCAUGUACCUUUUCCUUUUGGCUAAGAGGCUGAAGUUGUUUACAGACAACAAUGAUGAGUCUGACGGGACCACAGCUUCAUAAUUGCUUCUAGUCAGACAUUAUGAACAGCAUAGAGUCUUCUUUUUAUGGAUUAUAAGAGAUGGCGCACCCAAGUAGAGAUUUAUCCUCUUUAACCUUGUCUUUUUGUCAAUUGACCACAGUUAAAUCACAUUAAUUAAAACUUUGUAAUAGGGCUAUGAGCAUUUUUUGUUUUUCAUAAUUGAUUAAUUUGUAUUGUUUGCAAACGCAUUGUUUUGUCUAUAAUGUGUGAAGUGGGAAACCAUCAAACAGAUUCCCAGAUGUUAUUCGUUUCUUGUACUGCUCUCACUAACUAACUCUGUGUCAUCUGCAGGCGGUCAUGGUGGGUGAUUUUGCCAUAUCUUGCUUCAAACACCUAAAGAAAAUGUAUCCUGGUUUGACAUGAUCAUUUACUUCCUCUGUGAGAACGUGGUACACGUUUCAUGUACUGAAGAACUCUAUCGCCCCCUUCCCGCUUGUGCAAGCCGGGCCGGACCCCUCCACCCGAGACGAGUGGUGGAGGAAGUGGAGGGGCUUCACCAGGUCAAACACCCACCCUGGACACCCCAACGGACGUCCGUCCCCCAGUCGGAUGUCAUGCAGGUGGAAUUCACAAUGAAUGUAGUCACAGAAAACGAUCAGAGGCCUGUUCACACAAGAGAAACAGACUAGUUGACAACUUCACAGAAUAAUAUGUUUGUUUAUUUCAGAAAAUGGCAACUAUUUUUCAUGAUUGGAUACCCUUUCUCUUGGACUUGUGACAAAUCAUCGAUUGGGGUGGUGAGUGUGUACGCCCUCUCCUCGUUAUCCGCUUCAUGACAAGCCGCCAUAGUGAACACAUAAGCCUGUUACUUUCCUGAUGGGUUUUCAGAGCACAGUGGUAACCCACUUAGUCAUGCCACCCACCCCUCCAAAACGUGGCACUUUUCCAGAACAAAAUGCUUAGCUGGUUUAAUGAAUUCUUCUCAACUCGAUACCCCAAACAGUCACAACGCCUCCUGUCACUGAGAAAGCGCCUAUGUGCGGUUUACAGAUUCGGCCUGAAAAAUGUGUGUUUUGUCGUGCUGUAGACUGGGUCUGUGACUCUUUGUGUGUAUUUUCUUUUAUCUGUACAAUUGGAUAUUAAAAUACAUGUAAGAACAAUCAAAUUGUGUUCAUUCCAACUAUGUGUGUACGUGUGUCACCUUAUGGUGGAUGCAGCCUCCAGAUCAAACAAGCAAGACCGUAAAUUCUGAAGAAUCUGAAGAAAAAUGAACUACAAAGUCUGAUUUUUUUUAAAUAGAAAUGGAGUGUGCACAAGCCAAAUCCACUUGUAGAAAGGGCUGAGUUAUCAUUGGC
ensembl:lncRNA